rnacentral:rRNA from 1 species
CCUACGGGCGGCUGCAGUGGGGAAUAUUGCACAAUGGGCGCAAGCCUGAUGCAGCCAUGCCGCGUGUGUGAAGAAGGCCUUCGGGUUGUAAAGCACUUUCAGCGGGGAGGAAGGCGGUGAGGUUAAUAACCUCAUCGAUUGACGUUACCCGCAGAAGAAGCACCGGCUAACUCCGUGCCAGCAGCCGCGGUAAUACGGAGGGUGCAAGCGUUAAUCGGAAUUACUGGGCGUAAAGCGCACGCAGGCGGUCUGUCAAGUCGGAUGUGAAAUCCCCGGGCUCAACCUGGGAACUGCAUUCGAAACUGGCAGGCUAGAGUCUUGUAGAGGGGGGUAGAAUUCCAGGUGUAGCGGUGAAAUGCGUAGAGAUCUGGAGGAAUACCGGUGGCGAAGGCGGCCCCCUGGACAAAGACUGCCGCUCAGGUGCGAAAGCGUGGGGAGCAAACAGGAUUAGAUACCCCAGUAGUC